AGAGUUUGAUCCUGGCUCAGAGCGAACUCCGGCGGCCAACUUAACACAUGCAAGUCGAGCGGGCGUACCAAUNAGUCAGCGGCAGACGGGUGAGUAACGCGUGGGAACGUACCCUUUGGUUNGGAACAACACAGGGAAACUUGUGCUAAUACCGCAUAACCCCUUACGGGGAAAGAUUUAUCGCCGAAAGAUCGGCCCGCGUCCCAUNAGCUAGUUGGUAGGGUAAUGGCCUACCAAGGCGACGAUCAGUAGCCUGGUCUGAGAGGAUGAUCAGCCACANUGGGACUGAGACACGGCCCAAACUCCUACGGGAGGCAGCAGUGGGGAAUAUUGGACAAUGGGCGCAAGCCUGAUCCAGCCAUGCCGCGUGAGUGAGGAAGGCCUUUAGGUUGUAAAGCUCUUUUGUGCGGGAAGAAUAAUGGCGGUCCCCAGAAUAGCCCCGG
rnacentral:rRNA from 1 species